rnacentral:piRNA from 1 species
UGGGAUGUCAGUGAUUGUACUUUAUAGCC